GGCAACGUGGCGGAGUGGUUAUCGCGCAGCACUCGAAUGUUUUCACAUCCGAUAUGCUGUUCCCUCGGGAGCGCAUGUUCGAAUCAUGCCGUUGUCG
rnacentral:tRNA from 1 species